rnacentral:rRNA from 1 species
UUCCGUAGGUGAACCUGCGGAGGGAUCAUUACCGAGUUUACAACUCCCAAACCCAAUGUGAACCAUACCAAACUGUUGCCUCGGCGGGGUCACGCCCCGGGUGCGUCGCAGCCCCGGAACCAGGCGCCCGCCGGAGGGACCAACCAAACUCUUUUCUGUAGUCCCCUCGCGGACGUUAUUUCUUACAGCUCUGAGCAAAAAUUCAAAAUGAAUCAAAACUUUCAACAACGGAUCUCUUGGUUCUGGCAUCGAUGAAGAACGCAGCGAAAUGCGAUAAGUAAUGUGAAUUGCAGAAUUCAGUGAAUCAUCGAAUCUUUGAACGCACAUUGCGCCCGCCAGUAUUCUGGCGGGCAUGCCUGUCCGAGCGUCAUUUCAACCCUCGAACCCCUCCGGGGGGUCGGCGUUGGGGACCUCGGGAGCCCCUAAGACGGGAUCCCGGCCCCGAAAUACAGUGGCGGUCUCGCCGCAGCCUCUCCUGCGCAGUAGUUUGCACAACUCGCACCGGGAGCGCGGCGCGUCCACGUCCGUAAAACACCCAACUUCUGAAAUGUUGACCUCGGAUCAGGUAGGAAUACCCGCUGAACUUAAGCAUAUCAAUAAGCGGAGGAA